rnacentral:rRNA from 1 species
AUUGAACGCUGGCGGCAUGCCUUACACAUGCAAGUCGAACGGCAGCACGGGAGCAAUCCUGGUGGCGAGUGGCGAACGGGUGAGUAAUAUAUCGGAACGUGCCCAGUCGUGGGGGAUAACGCAGCGAAAGCUGUGCUAAUACCGCAUACGAUCUAUGGAUGAAAGCGGGGGAUCGCAAGACCUCGCGCGAUUGGAGCGGCCGAUAUCAGAUUAGCUAGUUGGUGGGGUAAAGGCCCACCAAGGCGACGAUCUGUAGCUGGUCUGAGAGGACGACCAGCCACACUGGAACUGGGACACGGUCCAGAAUCCUACGGGAGGCAGCAGUGGGGAAUUUUGGACAAUGGGCGCAAGCCUGAUCCAGCAAUGCCGCGUGCAGGAUGAAGGCCUUCGGGUUGUAAACUGCUUUUGUACGGAACGAAACGGUCUGCCCUAAUACGGUGGGCUAAUGACGGUACCGUAAGAAUAAGCACCGGCUAACUACGCGCCAGCAGCCGCCGUAA